rnacentral:rRNA from 1 species
GACGAACGCUGGCGGCGUGCUUAACACAUGCAAGUCGAACGAAGCGGGGACGGGUGAGUAACACGUGGAUAACCUCCUAUAAGACUGGGAUAACUUCGGGAAACCGGAGCUAAACCGGAUACUUAUAGAUGGAUCCGCGCUGCAUUAGCUAGUUGGUAAGGUAACGGCUUACCAAGGCAACGAUGCAUAGCCGACCUGAGAGGAUGACCAGCCACACGUGAACUGAGACACGGUCCAGACUCCUACGGGAGGCAGCAGUGGGGAAUAUUGCACAAUGGGCGCAAGCCUGAUGCAGCCAUGCCGCGUGUGUGAAGAAGGCCUUCGGGUUGUAAAGCACUUUCAGCGAGGAGGCGUUACUCGCAGAAGAAGCACCGGCUAACUCCGUGCCAGCCGCCGCGGUAAUAC